rnacentral:rRNA from 1 species
UACGUAGGGGGCAAGCGUUGUCCGGAAUCAUUGGGCGUAAAGAGCGUGUAGGCGGCUUGGCAAGUCUGACGUGAAAUCCCGCGGCUCAACCGCGGUCGGUCGUUGGAAACUGCCUGGCUAGAGUCCGGAAGAGGAGAGUGGAAUUCCUGGUGUAGCGGUGGAAUGCGCAGAUAUCAGGAGGAACACCCGUGGCGAAGGCAGCCCCCUGGGCUGAGAUUGACGCUCAGGCACGAAAGCGUGGGGAGCAAACAGG